rnacentral:ncRNA from 1 species
ACUCUCUGGAGAACACAUUCAGUUGUGUGCCGAAGGUGCAAGGUCAAGGACCGAAUCUCUCAGGCAAAUGGACAGAGAUGC